GAGCGGUAGCACAGAGAGCUUGCUCUCGGGUGACGAGCGGCGGACGGGUGAGUAAUGUCUGGGAAACUGCCUGAUGGAGGGGGAUAAUUACUGGAAACGAUAGCUAAUACCGCAUAACGUCGCAAGACCAAAGAGGGGGACCUUCGGGCCUCUUGCCAUCAGAUGUGCCCAGAUGGGAUUAGCUAGUAGGUGGGGUAAUGGCUCACCUAGGCGACGAUCCCUAGCUGGUCUGAGAGGAUGACCAGCCACACUGGAACUGAGACACGGUCCAGACUCCUACGGGAGGCAGCAGUGGGGAAUAUUGCACAAUGGGCGCAAGCCUGAUGCAGCCAUGCCGCGUGUAUGAAGAAGGCCUUCGGGUUGUAAAGUACUUUCAGCGAGGAGGAAGGCACUGAGGUUAAUAACCUCAGUGAUUGACGUUACUCGCAGAAGAAGCACCGGCUAACUCCGUG
rnacentral:rRNA from 1 species